CACAACAGCUCUUCAUAGUGUGGGUGGGGGUGAAAGAGGAUUGUGUUCAUCAGUUUCUGUGUUCAUGUGUGUGAUGGAUGAUGUUCUGACUGGUCUGUCCCCACCCCGACUCCACAGCAGUGACAUGCGUGUGGUGUGUAGAGACUCCAACGGUUGUGUCAGUGUUCUCUCGCUGACGGCGCCGGGGCUAGAGACCACGGCCCAGUGGAAGGCUCUGAGGCCUGGAUCACAGUCAUCUCCUUCUAGGACACCCAGCUGCUCUACUCAGGUAACCCCCCCACACACACACACACACACACACACACACACACGCCACCGGUUUCACUCACUUUUAGAAGUGGGGCAGGGUAGUCUAAAGUCAGAUAACAUGAAUUCAGAAGUACAUUUUGCACUUAUAGAUUUUAUUAUAAAAAACAAUACUUUAUAAAAAAAAAUUAUUUGAGCUGCUAUAAUGCCGUUUCCCCUCGGUGAUGAAUGAAGUACAUAUGUAUUUAUGUAUCUAUCAAUAUAGUUGUUGGGGUGUUUGUCUCCCAGCUGAAAAAGUAUUGGAAUCAACCACCAAUGUCGCUGGAGAGGGAGGCCCAGAAAGGGCCAUCAAGGCCUCAAUUCAGUCAAACUACAGGAGUCGGAUGAUAAGCAUAUUAACUAAAGUGUGUGUGUGUGUGUGUGUGUGUGUGUGUGUGUGUGUGUGUGUGUGUGUGUGUGUGUGUGUGUGUGUGUGUGUGUGUGUGUGUGUGUGUGUGUGUGUGUGUGUGUGUGUGUGUGUGUGUGUGUCACAGCAAGCUGAAAGGCUGGGACCCCAGGAUGGAGCUCUCCUCUCCCACUUUCACCAGCAAGAGAAGAUGCUGCUGCUGCUGCUGCUGCCUCAGCACUACACUUCCAGACGGUCUGUCCAAAGGCUGCAUCCCACAUGGCCGGUGGAACUACGUGCUCUUUAG
rnacentral:lncRNA from 1 species